rnacentral:rRNA from 1 species
GGGAAUAUUGCACAAUGGGGGAAACCCUGAUGCAGCGACGCCGCGUGAGUGAGGAAGUAUUUCGGUAUGUAAAGCUCUAUCAGCAGGGAAGAAAAUGACGGUACCUGACUAAGAAGCCCCGGCUAACUACGUGCCAGCAGCCGCGGUAAUACGUAGGGGGCAAGCGUUAUCCGGAUUUACUGGGUGUAAAGGGAGCGUAGACGGUUAUGCAAGUCUGGAGUGAAAGCCCGGGGCUCAACCCCCGGACUGCUCUGGAAACUAUGUGACUGGAGUGCAGGAGAGGUGAGCGGAAUUCCUAGUGUAGCGGUGAAAUGCGUAGAUAUUAGGAGGAACACCAGUGGCGAAGGCGGCUCACUGGACUGUAACUGACGUUGAGGCUCGAAAGCGUGGGGAGCAAACAGG